UACGAACCGUGCGAACGUUGUUCGGAAUCACUGGGCUUAAAGGGCGCGUCGGCGGGAUGGCCAGUCGGUCGUGAAAUCCUUCGGCUCAACCGAAGAACGUCGAUCGAUACUGCUGUUCUUGAGGGUUGCAGAGGAGACUGGAAUUCCCGGUGUAGCGGUGAAAUGUGUAGAGAUCGGGAGGAACACCGGUGGCGAAGGCGGGUCUCUGGGCAAUUCCUGACGCUGAGGCGCGAAAGCGUGGGGAGCAAACGGG
rnacentral:rRNA from 1 species